CCGAGAGGUUACUGAACCCUAUCAAACUAAGAAUGCCGGAUAAUGUGAGUACAGCAGUCAGACUAUGGGAGAUAAGUUUCAUGGUCAAAAGGGAAACAGCCCAGACCCACAGCUAAGGUCCCAAAGUACGGUUAAGUGGAAAAGGAUGUGGGGUUGCACAGACAACCAGGAUGUUGGCUUAGAAGCAGCCACCAUUUAA
rnacentral:rRNA from 1 species